CUGAAAAUGUCAUAGUAUAGCAUGUCGCUCUAAAAACAUCAUAGUAUAGCAUGUCGCUCUGAAAACGUUACAGUAUAGCCUUUGCUCUAAAAACGUCAUAGUAUAGCAUGUCGCUCUGAAAAUGUCAUAGUAUAGCAUGUCGCUCUAAAAACAUCAUAGUAUAGCAUGUCGCUCUGAAAACGUCAUACUUUAACAUGUUGCUCUGAAAACGUCAUAGUAUAGCAUGUCGUCCAACAAACAUCAUAGUAUAGCAUGUCGCUCUAAAAAUGUCAUAGUAUAGCAUAGAAACAAAAAAUUGUCAUGAAUUUUGGCACAAAAAAAAAACGCUAUAGUAUACUAUGUUUGAAAAAAAAAUGCGAUUUUUCAACGUUGUAAAAACGUGCCAUAUGAUGAAAUAAUGUAAAGGAGGCCGUGAAAAACACUCCAGAAAGGUUUUCUUUGAAAAGAAAAUCAUCAUGAAUUUUGGCGCAAAAAAACGGCAUAGUAUACUAUGUUGGCAAAAAAGAUCAUCUCCCCACGCCAGGGGAAAUUCACAUUGUUACAGCAGCUUAUGUAGCAAUAAAUGUAGGAAUAAAAUAAUAAUAGAACAGUAGUAAUAAUAUUUACAAUAUAUACAGGGGUGAGAGAUGAGGAUGAAAUAGUGCAGUAUUGACACACUGUAAGACAAUGUAGUAUAAAGUGGCUUAAAAAAAUAAAGUUUAAAAGUGCAAAGAUGUAGCAGUGCAAUAAUGUCUGUGCAAAUUUUAUGGUUUGGGGUGGUAAUGAUAUGAGUCCAGUUUAUGUUAACAUCAGCCAGUGAUGCUGAUGUUGUAAAGUCUUAUAGCAGAUGGAAUGAAGGACCUGUGAUAGCGCUCUUUCUUGCAGGGUGGAUGUCUCAGUCUGCUGCUGAAGGAGCUGCUUAAAGACCCCACAGUGUCAUGCAGUGGGUGAGAGGGAUUGUCCAUGAUGGAUGUGAGCUUUGCCAACAUCCUCCUCUCACCCACCUCCUCUAUGGAGUCCAGGGAACAGUCCAGGACAGAACCUCCUCCUGACCUUCUGUUUAGUCUCUUUCUGUCCCUUUCAGUGCUCCUGCUCCCCAGCAGACCACUGCAUAGAAGAUAGCAGAUGCUACCACAGAGUCAUAAAAUGUCCUGAGCAGAGUCCUGCACACUCCAAAGGACCUCAGUCUCCUCAGCAGGUGGAGACGACUUUGGCCCUUCUUGUACAGAACCUCUGUAUUGUGUGUCCAGUCCAGUUUAUUGUUGAGGUGAACACCCAGGUAUUUUUAUGUGUCCACCAUGUCAAUGUCCAAACCCUGGAUGUUCACCGGUACAGUCUGGGGUGUCCUCCUCCUGCUGAAGUCCACGAUCAUCUCCUUCGUCUUACUGGCGUUGAGCUGCAGAUGGUUUCGCUCACACCAGUCCACAAAGUCAGAGAUGACCAUCCUGUACUCCCGUUCGUCCCCUUCAGAUACACACCCAACAAUGGCUGUAUCAUCGGAGAACUUCUGGAGGUGACAGGUCCCAGAGUUGUAGUGGAAGUCCGAUAUGUACAGGGUGAAGAGAAAGGGAGAGAGCACUGUCCCCUGUGGACCUCCAUGCUGCUGACUUCCACAUCAGACACACAGUCCUGAAGCCUCACGUACUGUGGUCUGUUGGUGAGGUAGUCGAUGGUCCAAGCAGCCAGGUGACAGUCUACUCCCGCUCCUUCAAGCUUCACCCUGAGCAGAGAAGGCUGGAUUGUGUUGAAAGCACUGGAGAAGUCAAAGAGCAUGACCCUCACAGUGCUGCUGGGGUUCUCCAGGUGAGUCAGCGAUCUGUGCAGCAGGUAGACCACUGCAUCAUCCACUCCAAUGUUCGGUUGGUAGGCGAACUGCAGUGGAUCCAGAUGUGGGCUCACCUGGGGACGGAGGUUCCUGAGGACAAUCCUCUCCGUUGGUCUUCAUCAGACCAAAGAACUACAGACUCUUCACAACCUGCUCAAACUCUUGGUACAGGACCUCACCACACGGGUCAAGAAGGUUUCCAUCUCAUUUCUACUCUGAAGCUCACCUUCUCCUGCUCAAACUGCUGACAAAUGUUUCUGCUGCUCUAAAGUCUGGUCUGCAGAACUUCCUAAAAACUCUCAAAGUCUCUUCUGCUGCAGGUUGCUUUGUAGAACUGUUCCAGAAAACCUCACUAAACCACAUGGAGGGGCCUCAAGAUAGUCGUCCAAAUGAAACCAUACAAAAACCAAACUAGCACAACCCAAACGCUAAAGUCUCCUGCAGCCUACCAGAGAACCUCUGAGAACAGAGAAUCAGGACAGGAACUCUUACCUUCUGGACAACCAGCGCUGGUUCUCAAACAAGAAUACAGAAUGUGUCUGACCAAAAACCUCUAAAGACUCACUACAGCCAAGAUAAAGACACAACUCAGCUGCACCAAAUCAACUAAUCACUGCACACAUCAGCACCAUGUGCUAACUGUGGCUAAAGAACCACAUUUACCAAGACAACUAUCCAGUACAAAGCCCUAAAACACACCAAGAAACACAUUAAAGACGAUUUUACUGCUGGAAGCUGCAAGCCAACGCCUAAAGAACACACUAAAGCAACGGAACCAAACCCGGUUCUGUGGUGAAGAGAAGCAGAGGAAAUGUUUGUCUGCAGCUAAAUAAAGCAGGAAGACACUGAGCUGCUCAGGUGUUCCUGAUAACACCAAGCAGCCACCUGGACAGCCAAUAGGAACACAGCUUCCUGGAAGUCCAGAGGGCUGGGUUAGUGAAGGAAAUUUAGUUUAAAGUUGAAGCAGAAAGUUAACAAAGAAAGUUGAAAACCACCUUCUGAUACCUGAAAUCUCUGAGUUUUCACACAAAGAACACCUGAACAUGUCAAACUGGUUCCAUAAUAGAACCAUCAUUGUCUACAUAAAUAGUUGUGUUAGAAAAACUGACUAAAAAAACAUAAUGUUCAUGUGCUAAAGAUAUGUGUACAACAAUAUGUCAGUGCUCAGGACAUAACCAUAUCAAAAAACCCCCACAAAAAACAUUGUGAUUAUUAUGUUUGACAUUGCAAUUUGUCUUCUGAUUCGAAGUCUCUGUCAAACAAGCAUGCUGCCUUUUGUCUGGAAAUUGUAAUUCAUAGCCCUGAACAUCUGCGAAGGAUAGAUGUUUAAUUUAGUUUUUAUCAGUUAACAGAAUAUAUUGCAUUGUUUCAAAUGUUUGUGCCUUAUUUUAACAGGAGGUUACUUAUAAAUAUUGUCAUUUUUAAGGAAUUGCUCCUUUUUUCCAGUGUUUUAAGAGUUUUAUCUGUAGACUUUUAGCUGCUUGAUAGCUGUCUUUUAUAAGUGUACCUAUUGGCUGUUAUUCUCUCAGUCUGCAACUCCCUCUUUUACAGACCUUAAGAAUGAAUUUAUUUGUUCUGUGAUUCACUUUCACUGCCUGCUCUUGUUACGUUGUUUUCCAUGAAAAAGCUCCAAAAGCCAAAUAUAGUUGAGCUGCUCAGCACCAAAGAGCAGGUAGACACAGUUAGUUAUUAGCAGGUGAAAACAGUGAAUUAUUUAGCGGCUAAAGAGCCUCGUAUUUGCUGCUUCCAGGUGUGACUUGGCAACUAUUUAGACAUUCAUCUUGCAGUAACAGCGUUAAAGAUGAUACUUGUUAAGGAAAAACUAACUUCACUGCUAAUAAGUGCUGAAAAAAAAUCACAUUAUUCCAAGUUUAAUCAACUUUUCAUUAUAUGUGCUAAUAUUGGGUUGUGAGUUCAGUGUUACCAGGAGUGCUCAAAAAGGGAAACACCUCACAUUUAUUUAUAUUUUCUCUGAAAGUGUGUGCUGCAGAAUGUAUCACAGCUUUUUCACCUGAAGAACUAUUAAAGCCUUGAUUAGUAAGUGAGCACCUGCAUUAACAGGUACAUUACUGCCAACAAAGUGAUGUUUCUCUUUGAUGCUGCUUAAAUCCAGGCUGUUGGUGUAACAGAGGUGGACUUGAUGUGGAUACAGUAACCCAGUUUUAGAGCCAAAUAUCCUGUAUAGCCAGCAGCUUGUUUACAGCUUUCUGACUGUUGAUAUUCACCUUUUAUGGAGGGUCUCCUAUUUGUGGUAUUUAUGCAACAGUAAUGUGAGACAGAAAUGAGUCUUCUAGACACUCUGAGCAUUUUACAAUCAGAUAAUAAUAAUAAUACUUUAUAUUGCACCCUUAAGAACAAUGUUCACAAGGUGCUUUGACAGUCAAAACAUGCAAAUACAGACAGUCAAGCAAGACAUAAGGAGACAAGGCAGAGCAGUCCAAUCAAAUAAAUAGUAAAAAUGAUAAGUUAAAUGAAUAGCUAGAUUAGCACAUGCAUCAAACAAAGGAACUAGGCAGUUUAAAAAUCAAAGAAUAAGAUAGAAGGUUAAAGUUAGAAAUUAAAAAAACAAAAAAUUAAAGAAUUAAAUAAUUAAAGAUGACAUCACACCAAAGAACCAGGCAGCUAAAAUUAAAAUAAAGCAAGAGAGAACAUAUAAAAUAAACAGGACAUGAUACAGAAUAAAACACUAAAACUAAUUAAAGUUAAAAGUAAACUUCAAAUAAAACCAAGUCUAUAAAAGUGGGUUUUCAGAAGUGAUUUAAAAGACGUUACUGAAUCUGCAAGCUUUAUCUCCUCAGGCAGCUCCUCAGUCGUUCCAAAGUCGAGGUGCCCUGAUGGAGAUAAUUACCCCUAUAAUAUAUUUAAGUCUCUGCUAUGAUGUCCUGUUUUAUAUUUUGUAUAUAAAAGAGAGAUGCAGCCUCUAGCUUUAAAGUGAAACCAACACAAAAGUCUCCUAAACCUGCAUUCUUUCUAACGGCCAGCAGGAGGCGCCUCCGUUGAUUACAGAAUAAAUGAAAUUGUAUAGAAGUCUAUGAGAAAAUGCCACUACUUCUCUCAUCUUUUAUUGCCUUAGUAAACAUUUUUCUAAUAAGUUUAUGGACUUAUUGGCUACUUUAAAGCCUCCUUUGACACAGCAUGAGGUUUAUUUUGGAAAUUGUGGUCCCAUUUAGAGUGGGGCUGCAAAAUUAAUCAAAUAUUAAUCAGGAUUAUGAUUUCGACUGAGCGACAGUUAAAUGAACAUGAAAAACAAAAAUACUGAUAUUUACAAUGUUUUGCUUCUAGAAAACAGCCAAUGUAGAUGAAAUCAGUUGAUGUCAGCUUGGGUAGAUGUGACAUUAGACUGCGUUAUUUCACUCUUUCCAGAUUUAUUCUUGGUCAAACACCUGUUUGCGUUGCUGCACUGCUGUAACUGGGCACGUGAGGCGUUAAGGGAACAUUAGUAAAUUGUACUGUCUGUAUCAGUAAGCAGAUGUUUUAUACGCGUGGCAUUUUGGGUACAAUUAUAUUGAUAUUUUGCCUUCAGGAGAUGCACUAAAUUCAGGUGAAAAUCAUAGAAAGUCUUUAUUUUGAUGCUGAUUUGUACAUUAGCAGCACAACAUGCAAAAGGGCAAAUGAAAAAACUGUCUCUAAAAUCAAUUAAUAAUUGUGGUAAACAGGCAAAUACUGAUCAAAAAUAAUUCAUCAAAUGCUCAUCAGCUACAGAAAUGAUGAUACAGGCCAAAAACAGCUUCUCUGUCAGCAGCAGCAGCGCACCUUGUUAGUUUAAUCCUUUCCAAUUUGUUUGCAGUUAUCUGGUGAAAAUUAUUGUACUUUUUUUUAUUGCAGAAAAACUAGUUCUCAGUUUUAUCCAUUAUUGUACAGGACUGGCAAAGCUCAAAAUGCCAAAUUUGCACCAUCAGAACUGCUAUAUCCUGUUUGAGGGAACACUGGUAGAUUGUAACGUCAGUCAGUAAACAGCUGUUUAGUACAUGUGGCAUUUUUGGCACAAUUACAUACAUAUUUUGCUUCACAAAAUGCAGAUGAAAUUUAUAUUUAGUCUUCAUUUGAUGUAGAUUUAUAUAUUAGCUGGAAUGUAGCACAACAUGCACAAGUACAGUUAAAAAAAAGUCUAAAAUCAAUGAGUGAUUGUGAUAAAUGGGUGAAUAGGGAUCUCAACAUUGAUCAAAAUAAUUGUGCAGCCGUGCUCAGUUGUCUAGUGAAAUAUUUUUGCUAUAGAAAUGAUGUUAUUAACUAAAAUAGGUACUCUGUCAGCAGUGUAUUGUAACUUUCUUUGUCUAAUCCAAAUCAAUUUUUCCAGUAGUGCAUUAAUAGCAACGGCCAAAAUGCCAAAUUCAUGCCCUAAAAACUGCAAUACCUGUCAGUUUAUAAGGCCGCUAGCUUUAGCUUUAGCUGUUCUGACUGUGAGCAGCCUGUCGCUUGAUGUCACUCUAGUCUUUUUUCAAUAAAUUCCGUAAAUAUGUGCGAAAUGAUAGUUUAAGAUGUGAUUUGCUCAGUAAGCAAUGACACAAAAUCCUAAGAAUUUCAGCUGCGUGUUAUUUAUGAAGUGUUCUGAGCAACAAAAUAAUGCAAACACAUUAAUAAAAGUCUAUCAUUUAGUCAGGAAAAAAAACAGGAACCUCUUUUUUUUCUCCUUUUAUUGUUUACAAAAUACCAACAUAAAUACAUAAAGGAGGCUGUGUGAUAUUGCUGUGUGUGGAUGUGUGUGUUUGAAACCGAGGAGCAGGCAGAAAAGACAGCACUGAAACAAAUGCUCCACCCCUCUGUAACCAACACACAGUGGCUUUGACUAGUCGGGAACAAAAUAAAGUCACCUUCACAUAACUGCAGACGGAGCAGAGUCGAGACAAUGAGAUAAAAAUCACAUUAAAUAAAAAGAACCAAAAAAAAGAUAAAAUACUGCGAUACAAAGCAGCUAAAACCUCAAACUUGUUAAGAAGACGGUGAGGAGGAGACAGACGAGGAUGUUCAGCAGUGCAGCCCUUUAAAAACCAACCAGGGCAGAUGUCAAGUCAGAAGUCGCUGCAAACCACAGCGACGCUCUGGGAAAUCAGCCCCGCGGCUCAAAGGGGAAACACAGAUGGACAAGUCAGGCGCGAUGCUCAUCAACCUGCCAUUCCUUAAAGUUACUCUUGGUAAAAGAAACAAAGAAGAUGAGGACGCUCUCUCCCCUCGUCCUCCAUUCACACAUGCAGUCACACCACACUCCUCGUAGUGUCUCCAAAGUCAACUUGGCUACACUCUGAUGGGAACCCCUUUAAUAGUCAAUAUUAUCUGUACACCAAGGCAUUUUUUUUUUUAAACUUUUUUUUUGUUGCAAACUACAAUCAUCAGAGCAAAGCGUUUUGUUUUUUUUUU